rnacentral:rRNA from 1 species
AAUGAACGCUGGCGGCGUGCCUAACACAUGCAAGUCGCACGAGAAAGUCUGCCUUCGGGCGGGCGAGUAAAGUGGCGCACGGGUGAGUAACGCGUAGGUAAUCUACCCCCGGAACCGGGAUAACAGUGCGAAAGUGCUGCUAAUACCGGAUACGAUCUUUUGGCGGGAGCUGGAAGGUGAAAGUCGGCCUCUCGAAGAAGCCGGUGCUCGGGGAUGAGCCUGCGUCCUAUCAGCUAGUUGGCAGGGUAACGGCCUACCAAGGCGACGACGGGUAGCUGGUCUGAGAGGAUGAUCAGCCACACUGGCACUGAAACACGGGCCAGACUCCUACGGGAGGCAGCAGUGAGGAAUUUUGCGCAAUGGGAGCAAUCCUGACGCAGCAACGCCGCGUGGGUGAUGAAGGCCUUCGGGUCGUAAAGCCCUGUCAGGUGGGAAGAAUGUCCCGGGAGCGAACAGUUUCCGGGAGUGACGGUACCACCAGAGGAAGCCCCGGCUAACUACGUG